rnacentral:rRNA from 1 species
CGCUUUCGGGUGUCGCUGAUGGAUGGACCCGCGGUGCAUUAGCUAGUUGGUGAGGUAACGGCUCACCAAGGCGACGAUGCAUAGCCGACCUGAGAGGGUGAUCGGCCACAUUGGGACUGAGACACGGCCCAAACUCCUACGGGAGGCAGCAGUAGGGAAUCUUCGGCAAUGGACGAAAGUCUGACCGAGCAACGCCGCGUGAGUGAAGAAGGUUUUCGGAUCGUAAAACUCUGUUGUUAGAGAAGAACAAGGAUGAGAGUAACUGUUCAUCCCUUGACGGUAUCUAACCAGAAAGCCACGGCUAACUACGUGCCAGCAGCCGCGGUAAUACGUAGGUGGCAAGCGUUGUCCGGAUUUAUUGGGCGUAAAGCGAGCGCAGGCGGUUUCUUAAGUCUGAUGUGAAAGCCCCCGGCUCAACCGGGGAGGGUCAUUGGAAACUGGGAGACUUGAGUGCAGAAGAGGAGAGUGGAAUUCCAUGUGUAGCGGUGAAAUGCGUAGAUAUAUGGAGGAACACCAGUGGCGAAGGCGGCUCUCUGGUCUGUAACUGACGCUGAGGCUCGAAAGCGUGGGGAGCAAACAGGAUUAGAUACCCUGGUAGUCCACGCCGU